UGUUGUUGUGAAGACGGAAGUGAGAGGAGGACUUCCCUCUGGACAAUUCUUCAUUUGGAAACAGUUAAAGUAAUACACCACCACCUGCUCAGUCAUGACUACUGCGUACAAAAACAGGCCCGGCAUAUGCACUCCAGCGGGUCGAGCGGUCUCGUGUGGACGGACACGUUUCUUGAGUGGACGGAAGACUUUUCUGCCAACGUCUACGGUUCCCUCUCCUCCGCAGGUAUUCUGAACGCCACGUAAGGACACGUCCUGGUGUUCAGACACACCAGCUUCUUCAGCGUGGCAGAGUUCACUAUGUCGAAGCCCACGCGGCCCCCGAAGGUGCUGGGCUUCCAGUAGUGUGGAGAACAUAUGGGGUUUCCGAGGAGGCCUUUCAAGGAGAAGGGGGCCCCCAUCUCCACCAUGCUCUCUCCAAAGAGGGCCCCCGGUCGAGUUUGCUCCAGCAUCAAGCCGGGGUAAAACUCCAG